AUUGAACGCUGGCGGCAUGCUUUACACAUGCAAGUCGAACGGUAACAGGCCUUCGGGUGCUGCCGAGUGGCGAACGGGUGAGUAAUGCAUCGGAACGUGCCCAGAGGUGGGGGAUAACGCAGCGAAAGCUGUGCUAAUACCGCAUGUGAUCUGAGGAUGAAAGCGGGGGACCAAGCAGCAAUGUUUGGCCUCGCGCCUCUGGAGCGGCCGAUGUCAGAUUAGGUAGUUGGUGGGGUAAAGGCCUACCAAGCCGACGAUCUGUAGCUGGUCUGAGAGGACGACCAGCCACACUGGGACUGAGACACGGCCCAGACUCCUACGGGAGGCAGCAGUGGGGAAUUUUGGACAAAGGGCGCAAGCCUGAUCCAGCAAUGCCGCGUGCGGGAAGAAGGCCUUCGGGUUGUAAACCGCUUUUGUACGGAACGAAAAGGCUCUGGCUAAUACCUGGGGCUGAUGACGGUACCAUAAGAAUAAGCACCGGCUAACUACGUG
rnacentral:rRNA from 1 species